rnacentral:rRNA from 1 species
GAAUCCCGUCUUUGGCACGGAUGCACCAGGGCUUUCGUGAUGCGCUCUCGAAGAGUCGAGUUGUUUGGGGAUGCAGCUCAAAAUGGGUGGUGAACUCCAUCUAAAGCUAAAUAUUGGCGAGAGACCGAUAGCGAACAAGUACCGUGAGGGAAAGAUGAAAAGCACUUUGGAAAGAGAGUGAAACAGUACGUGAAAUUGUUGAAAGGGAAACGCUUGAAGUCAGUCGCGUCGACCGAGACUCAGCCUUGCCUCGGCUCGGUGUACUUCUCGGCCGACGGGUCAGCAUCAAUUUUGCCCCUCGGAUAAUGGCGAGAGAAAGGUGGCACCCUCACGGGUGUGUUAUAGUCUCCCGUCGGAUGCGAGGGUUGGGAUUGAGGAACUCGGCACGUACCGUGCUUAGGAUGUUGGCAUAAUGGCUUUAAACGACCCGUCUUGAAACACGGACCAAGGAGUCUAACAUGCCCGCGAGUGUUCGGGUGGAAAACCCGUGCGCGUAAUGAAAGUAAAAGUUGGGACCCCUGUCGUGGGGGGCACCGACGCCCGGACCAGACCUUCUGUGACGGAUCUGCGGUAGAGCGUGCAUGUUGGGACCCGAAAGAUGGUGAACUAUGCCUGAAUAGGGUGAAGCCAGAGGAAACUCUGGUGGAGGCUCGUAGCGAUUCUGACGUGCAAAUCGAUCGUCAAAUUUGGGUAUAGGGGCGAAAGACUAAUCGAACCAUCUAGUAGCUGGUUCCUGCC